GUGCCAGCAGCCGCGGUAAUACGAAGGACCCGAGCGUUAUCCGGAUUUAUUGGGUUUAAAGGGUGCGUAGGCGGACUUUCAAGUCAGUGGUGAAAGCCCAUCGCUCAACGAUGGAAUUGCCAUUGAUACUGUUGGUCUUGAGUACGGUUGAAGUGGGCGGAAUGUGUCAUGUAGCGGUGAAAUGCUUAGAUAUGACACAGAACACCUAUUGCGAAGGCAGCUCGCUAAGCCGUAACUGACGCUGAGGCACGAAAGUGUGGGUAGCAAACAGGAUUAGAAACCCUGGUAGUCC
rnacentral:rRNA from 1 species